rnacentral:rRNA from 1 species
GACGAACGCUGGCGGCGUGCUUAACACAUGCAAGUCGAACGAUGAAGAAGAGAAACGCGAACUUCGGUUCAAAUUUCACUUCGGAUUAGUGGCAGACGGGUGAGUAACGCGUGAGCAACCUACCUCUUACAAAGGGAUAGCCUCGGGAAACCGUGAUUAAUACCAUAUGACACAUUCAUAAGGCAUCUUAAGAAUGUUAAAGCUACGUCGGUAAGAGAUGGGCUCGCGUCCCAUUAGCUAGUUGGUGAGGUAACGGCCCACCAAGGCGACGAUGGGUAACCGGCCUGAGAGGGUGAACGGUCACAUUGGAACUGAGACACGGUCCAAACUCCUACGGGAGGCAGCAGUGGGGAAUAUUGCACAAUGGAGGGAACUCUGAUGCAGCGACGCCGCGUGAGCGAUGAAGGAAUUCGUUGCGUAAAGCUCUGUUCUAUGGGAAGAAAAGGACUGUACCAUAGGAGAAAGCCCCGGCUAAAUACGUG